GGCAGUGUGGUGUAGUGGUAAUGAGUUGUGCUCAUAAUCAAAAGGUUGCCGGUUCAAUUCCCCGCUGGGGCACUGCCG